GACGAACGCUGGCGGCGUGCCUAAUACAUGCAAGUAGAACGCAGUUGCGAACGGGUGCGUAACGGGUAGGUAACUUCCUCCUCGCGGGGGAUAACUAUUGGAAACGAUAGCAAAUACCGCCUACUGUGAGUUGCGCCUGCGUUUUAUUAGCUAGUUUGUGAGGUAAAGGCUCACCAAGGCGACGAUACAUAGCCGACCUGGUAGGGUGAUGCGCCACACUGGGGCUGAGACAAGGCCCAGACGCCUACGGGAGGCAGGAGUAGGGAAUCGUCGGCAAUUGACGGAAAUCUGACCCAGCAACGCCGGGGGAGUGAAGAAGGGUUUCGGAACGUAAAGCUCUGGUGUUAGAGAAGCGGUAACUAACCAGAAAGGGACGGCUAACUACGUGCCAGCAGCCGCGGUAAUUC
rnacentral:rRNA from 1 species